rnacentral:tRNA from 1 species
GGUACGAGUACGCGACGAUGCGCGAGGUCGCCUUCGGGUGGCGGCGCACGGGUCCGAAGAUCACGGCCUCGGUCGUGCCG